rnacentral:rRNA from 1 species
GACGAACGCUGGCGGCGUGCUUAACACAUGCAAGUCGAGCGGUAAGGCCCUUUCGGGGGUACACGAGCGGCGAACGGGUGAGUAACACGUGGGUGACCUGCCCUUAGCUCUGGGAUAAGCCUGGGAAACUGGGUCUAAUACCGGAUAUGACCUCAUGACUCAUGUUGUGGGGUGGAAAGCCUUGUGCGGCUAGGGAUGGGCCCGCGGCCUAUCAGCUUGUUGGUGGGGUAAUUGCCUACCAAGGCGACGACGGGUAGCCGGCCUGAGAGGGCGACCGGCCACACUGGGACUGAGACACGGCCCAGACUCCUACGGGAGGCAGCAGUGGGGAAUCUUGCGCAAUGGGCGAAAGCCUGACGCAGCGACGCCGCGUGAGGGAUGACGGCC